rnacentral:rRNA from 1 species
GACGAACGCUGGCGGCGUGCUUAACACAUGCAAGUCGAACGAAGUGGCGAACGGGUGAGUAACGCGUAAUCAACCUGCCCUUCAGAGGGGGACAACAGUUGGAAACGACUGCUAAUACCGCAUACGGAAGGAGGGGAUUGCGUCUGAUUAGCUAGUUGGAGGGGUAACGGCCCACCAAGGCGAUGAUCAGGAGCCGUACUUAGCGGCUGAACGGCCACGUCGGGACUGGGACACGGCCCAGACUCCUACGGGAGGCAGCAGUGGGGAAUCUUCCGCAAUGGACGAAAGGCUGACGGAGCAACGCCGCGUGAGUGAUGACGACCUUCGGGUUGUAAAGCUCUGUUAAUCGGGACGCGGUACCGGAAUAGAAAGCCACGGCUAACUACGGGCCAGCAGCCGCGGUAAUAC